AAACCAACAGGGAUUGCCUUAGUAACGGCGAGUGAAGCGGCAAAAGCUCAAAUUUGAAAUCCCCUCGGGGAAUUGUAAUUUGAAGAUUGUGUUUUGGAGACGACCAUGUCUAUGUUCCUUGGAACAGGACGUCACAGAGGGUGAGAAUCCCGUGCGGCAUGGCCCCCGUCUCCUUAUAAAGCACUCUCGACGAGUCGAGUUGUUUGGGAAUGCAGCUCAAAGUGGGUGGUAAAUUCCAUCUAAAGCUAAAUACAGGCGAGAGACCGAUAGCGAACAAGUACAGUGAUGGAAAGAUGAAAAGCACUUUGAAAAGAGAGUGAAACAGUACGUGAAAUUGUUGAAAGGGAAGGGCAUGCCGUCAGAUUGUCAGUGUGGGUAAGAAGCCGGGUAUAAAGACUAAGGAAUGUAGCCUUCGGGUGUUAUAGCCUUAGUUCAUCCCCGGUCUCUUUCCGAGGCCUGCUUUGAGGACACCGACGUAAUGACGGUACGCCGC
rnacentral:rRNA from 1 species